UGAACUACCUAUUUCUUGAAUUUAAAAUUCAUUUAUAAUGCAAAAGUUAGUUAGCGCACAUUAAAGUAUCUGUUGUUGAUGUAAGCAAAGUAAAAAUGCAUGCAAUGUUUUUCAGCUAAUCAGCUUUUGAACUGAAAGCAUUAAAGCGGUGUUUUCCUCUGUUACUGAACUUGCAUUAAUGGGCUGUUUUUAUUCAGCUUUAUUAACUGGAACAGGUCUGUGUGCUUCACAUCGCUUUAACAUUCAUGCACUGGACUCAUCUCUCUGUUUAGUAUGUGUCACAGAAAACAAACAGGAGUAGUGGAACAUAUCUUUAGUACCCAGUUAGCCCGGCUCAGUUACUCACACCGGAGUGAAUAUUAAAUCCAGAGCGUCCGUCCAGCUGCCCUGAGACACACAGACACUGCAGGAGACUCCAGGGACUGGAGGAGCAGAGUCAAGACUGGGAGGUUGUUGAAAGAGAGAUGUGUAAAUGCUGAUCAGGCUGUUUAACACACACAUGGAUGAAAUACAGAGGGUGAAGAGAGCACAGCUAACUUUAGCGGCAAAAGUAAAAGCCUCAUCAUGACCCCUCUUGACCCCGCAGUGACCCUCAACGGAUCAAAUGAAGCAACUGAUGCCACACUGUAAGUAUAUUUAUGCAUGAAUGAUUUUGGGAGAAUCUGAUUUGAAAUAUUUGAGCUCAAAUUGAAUUCAGUGCAUUUUGACUGCAGAUCUGAGACGGGUUUGAGAAAUCGUUGUUGAGAAAUCUUUGAUAUCUCUUCUGAAAACCUCAAAGAGAGAUACACGUUUAUCAGGAGAAGCUCAGUUUGCUUUCCAUUUAAUCACGUUUCCGUCUCGGAGAAUCACUUGAGAUGUUCAAGAGAUCUCAUUACUGGUUUUCUAUCGUGUGGAUGUUUGGCUUGUGCCGUCUCAUUAGCGUGAUACUGCGCUGCUCCAGAACAAGAGCCAGUGGAUCACAGACUAUCUGCUGACAGCUGAAGAGCGACAGAUACACCCCUCCGUGGCCUGAGGGACUCUGAUGAUAUCAGCAUUAACAAGCUUGAGGCUCUGGCACAAUGGGGCUUCAGGUGCUGUGCUGUAAACCGAUGGGACAUUCAUCACAUUCUGACUCUCUGGUUACAAUCUGCUGCCCUGGACCUUUGAAACCAGGCAAGAAACAAGAGCCCAGCAGUCAGUGUGUGUGAGCUGAGGACUUGAAUUCAGCGCUGGCCUGAGGGAGAUGGGAUUAGAACAAAGCUGUGUUUCUCUAAUUGGACUCGACAAGCUCUGGUCAGUCAGAUAAGGUGAGGACCACGGCUCAGUCCUGUAUUCUUCAAACCACAGAGAACAGAGAAAUGACAUGUCCUUCUGUCAGACGAUGCACAUUUACUCCCCUCUGAAUUUAGUUCAUACCCUUUUAGAGAGACUUUAACUAGAUCAGAAUAAAACACAUAGAACAUUACAAAAAAAUCCAUUCAUGACUGGAUGUUUACUAAGUUUAUUUAUAUUGCACACUUCAUACACUGCUAAUUCAAAGUGCUUUACAGAAAAUGU